UACGUAGGGGGCAAGCGUUGUCCGGAUUUACUGGGCGUAAAGAGCGUGUAGGCGGCCAAGCAGGUCCGUUGUGAAAACUCGAGGCUCAACCUCGAGACGUCGGCGGAAACCAUCUGGCUAGAGUCCGGAAGAGGAGAGUGGAAUUCCUGGUGUAGCGGUGAAAUGCGCAGAUAUCAGGAAGAACACCCGUGGCGAAGGCGGCUCUCUGGGACGGUACUGACGCUGAGACGCGAAAGCGUGGGGAGCGAACAGG
rnacentral:rRNA from 1 species